CCUACGGGGGGCUGCAGUAGGGAAUCUUCCGCAAUGGACGAAAGUCUGACGGAGCAACGCCGCGUGAGUGAAGAAGGUUUUCGGAUCGUAAAACUCUGUUGUCAGAGAAGAACAAGUUGGAGAGUAACUGCUCCAGCCUUGACGGUAUCUGACCAGAAAGCCCGGGCUAACUACGUGCCAGCAGCCGCGGUAAUACGUAGGUGGCAAGCGUUGUCCGGAUUUAUUGGGGGCGAUUCGUGCGCAGUGAUUUGAAAGCCCACGGCUAAACCGUGGAAGGGCAUUGGAAACUGGGGAACUUGAGUGCAGAAGAGGAGAGUGGAAUUCCAUGUGUAGCGGUGAAAUGCGUAGAUAUAUGGAGGAACACCAGUGGCGAAGGCGACUCUCUGGUCUGUAACUGACGCUGAGGCUCGAAAGCGUGGGGAGCAAACAGGAUUAGAUACCCGAGUAGUC
rnacentral:rRNA from 1 species